rnacentral:rRNA from 1 species
CCUACGGGCGGCAGCAGUGAGGAAUAUUGGUCAAUGGGCGCGAGCCUGAACCAGCCAAGUCGCGUGAGGGAAGACGGCCCUAUGGAUUGUAAACUUCUUUUGUAGGGGAGCAAAAGACGCCACGCGUGGCGUUUCGUGCGUACCCGAAGAAUAAGCAUCGGCGAACUCCGUGCCAGCAGCCGCGGUAAUAGGGAGGAUGCGGGCGUGUUCCGGAUUUAUGGGGUUAAAGGGGUGCGCAGGGGGAAGAUCAAGUGGUCGGGAAAAUUGGCGGGCUCAACAUCUUCGUGCCGUUGAAACUGGGUUUCUUGAGUGCUCGAGAAGUAGGCGGAAUUCGUGGUGUAGCGGUGAAAUGCAUAGAUAUCACGAAGAACUCCGAUUGCGAAGGCAGCAUACUG